AAAUCGUGUAUUGGACACUUUUGCAGCAACUUCUUAAAACACUCCCAAGCUUCAUACAAAUUCUCUUCUUCAAGUUGCUUGAAGGAGGUCAUGUCAUUACUCAGUUU